rnacentral:misc_RNA from 1 species
CAACUCCAUGAGCGUUCUUUGGAUUUCACGGUCUGCACUGGUUCCCUCACUAAAACGACGUCCACCAAUUGCAUCUAUCUCAUCCAUGAAUAUGAUGCAAGGUUGGUGAUCACGCGCAUAGUUAAACAUUUCCCGAAUUAAUCUUGCACUCUCACCAAUGUACUUAUCAAUAAUGGCACUUGAUACAACCUUUAAGAAAUUGGCAUCUAUGUUGCUAGCGAUUGCCCUGGCUAACAAUGUCUUGCCUGUUCCAGGAGGCCCGUAGAGAAGAACACCCUUUGGAGGCUUAAUCCCAACCCGGAGGAAAAGCUCAGGGUUCAUUAGAGGUAACUCAAUGGAUUCUCUCAGCUCCCUGAUCUGAUCUGACAGUCCACCCACGGCAGAGUAACUGAUGUUGCCAGGAUCUUCAUGAAGCAUGUUGUAUACAACAGGAUCAACUUCACGGGGGAGUGCCCGCAUGAUUGUAAGUGUUGUCAUAUCGAGAACCACUCUUGUGCCUGAAGUCAGUUUUUCCUUGUCCACUUUACUGCGACAGCCAACUACAUACCUCGGACCACUGCUAGCUUUUACUAUCAAACGCUCAUUAUCUAGAGGUCGGAGCACUUCUCCUAUGAUCUGUCCAACACUUUGAAGUGACUUCAAAUCAUCUUCUGUUUUAGCAUAUUCCUUUUUGGUAGCCCGCAAGUUCUCUCUCACUGUCCGAACCCGAGCAUCAAGCUCCUUGUGCUGAAGGAGCUUUUUCCGAUAAUCGGCGAGUGCAGUACGGCGUCGGACGGCGUCUUCUUCGGUCGCCAUGGCGCUUAAGCUCAAAGAUCUGAACUGAUUUCUGAUAUCCGAGUGACCUCUCGACUUGAGGACCAAGA